AGGACUUGACGGUACCCCAUAUCCCCCUAGAGGAGCCUGUCCUAUAAUCGAUAACCCCCGUUUAACCUCACCAUUUKUUGCCAGUCAGCCUGUAUACCUCCGUCGUCAGCUUACCACGUGAGCGUCAGUGAGCCCAAUGUUUUUCCAACUACACGUCAGGUCAAGGUGCAACAUAUAAAAUGGGAAGAGAUGGGCUACACUUUCUACUAUAGAAUAAACGAAAGACUAAAUGAAACCCGGUCAGAAGGCGGAUUUAGCAGUAAAAUGAAACUAGAGUGUUCACUUAAAUACGGCACUGGGGUGUGUACACACCGCCCGUCC
rnacentral:rRNA from 1 species